rnacentral:rRNA from 1 species
AUUGAACGCUGGCGGCAUGCCUUACACAUGCAAGUCGAACGGUAACGGGCCUUCGGGUGCCGACGAGUGGCGAACGGGUGAGUAAUAUAUCGGAACGUACCUUUCAGUGGGGGAUAACGUAGCGAAAGUUACGCUAAUACCGCAUAUUCUGUGCGCAGGAAAGCAGGGGACCUUCGGGCCUUGCGCUGAUUGAGCGGCCGAUAUCAGAUUAGCUAGUUGGUGAGGUAAAGGCUCACCAAGGCGACGAUCUGUAGCGGGUCUGAGAGGACGAUCCGCCUCACUGGAACUGAGACACGGCCCAGACUCCUACGGGAGGCAGCAGUGGGGAAUUUUGGACAAUGGGGGCAACCCUGAUCCAGCCGUGCCGCGUGAGUGAAGAAGGCCUUCGGGUUGUAAAGCUCUUUCGGCCGGGAAGAAAUCGUAUGGGCUAAUACCCUGUGCGGAUGACGGUACCGGCAUAAGAAGCACCGGCUAACUACGUGCCAGCCGCCGCGGUAAUAC